GGUGAGUAAUGCUUGGGAACAUGCCUUGAGGUGGGGGACAACAGUUGGAAACGACUGCUAAUACCGCAUAAUGUCUACGGACCAAAGGGGGCUUCGGCUCUCGCCUUUAGAUUGGCCCAAGUGGGAUUAGCUAGUUGGUGAGGUAAUGGCUCACCAAGGCGACGAUCCCUAGCUGGUUUGAGAGGAUGAUCAGCCACACUGGGACUGAGACACGGCCCAGACUCCUACGGGAGGCAGCAGUGGGGAAUAUUGCACAAUGGGCGCAAGCCUGAUGCAGCCAUGCCGCGUGUGUGAAGAAGGCCUUCGGGUUGUAAAGCACUUUCAGUCAGGAGGAAAGGUUAACGGUUAAUACCCGUUAGCUGUGACGUUACUGACAGAAGAAGCACCGGCUAACUCCGUGCCAGCAGCCGCGGUAAUACGGAGGGUGCGAGCGUUAAUCGGAAUUACUGGGCGUAAAGCGUACGCAGGCGGUUUGUUAAGCGAGAUGUGAAAGCCCCGGGCUCAACCUGGGAACUGCAUUUCGAACUGGCAAACUAGAGUGUGAUAGAGGGUGGUAGAAUUUCAGGUGUAGCGGUGAAAUGCGUAGAGAUCUGAAGGAAUACCGAUGGCGAAGGCAGCCACCUGGGUCAACACUGACGCUCAUGUACGAAAGCGUGGGGAGCAAACGGGAUUAGAUACCCCGGUAGUCCACGCCGUAAACGAUGUCUACUAGAAGCUCGGAGCCUCG
rnacentral:rRNA from 1 species